ACCCGCUGAACUUAAGCAUAUCAAUAAGCGGGAGGAAAAGAAAACUAAACAAGGAUUUCCCCCUAGUAACGGCGAGUGAAGCGGGAUGAGCUCAAAUUUAAAAUCUGGCUGGUUUACUAGUCCGAAUUGUAGUUUAAAGAAGCGUUUUCGGUGGCAGCCUGGGUAUAAAUCCUUUGGAACAGGGUAUCAUAGAGGGUGAGAAUCCCGUCUUUUGACUCAGUGCAUGCUACUAUGUGAUACGUUUUCAAAGAGUCGAGUUGUUUGGGAAUGCAGCUCAAAAUGGGUGGUAAAUUUCAUCUAAAGCUAAAUAUUGGCGAGAGACCGAUAGCGAACAAGUACCGUGAGGGAAAGAUGAAAAGAACUUUGAAAAGAGAGUUAAACAGUGCGUGAAAUUGUUGAAAGGGAAACGCUUGACACCAGUCAUGCGAGCGGAAAAUCAGUCUUUUGCAGUGGGGAGUUGUGUGGGUUCGGACCGCAAGGCCGGCCUGCGCUGCAUCUCUGCUGUAAGUGAUGCACUUUUUCGUUUGCAGGCCAACAUCAGUUUCUUCUGCUGGACAAAACUCUUGAGAAGGUGGCAGCUUAGGCUGUGUUAUAGCUCUUGAGCGAUACAGUGGAGGGGACUGAGGUUUUCGCAGCGCGUGCUCUCGGGCAAGGCUGAUUGGGUGCUAUGGGAUCGUUCGGUGUACAAUGCAUGCAUUUUGCGCCGUGUCUUUUCUAUACUCGCUCAACUCGGCUCUUCCGCGCUUAGGAUGUUGGCUUAAUGGUUUUAAUCGACCCGUCUUGAAACACGG
rnacentral:rRNA from 1 species